UACGGGGGGGGCAAGCGUUGUUCGGAAUUACUGGGCGUAAAGGGCUCGUAGGCGGCCAACUAAGUCAGACGUGAAAUCCCUCGGCUUAACCGGGGAACUGCGUCUGAUACUGGAUGGCUUGAGGUUCGGAGAGGGAUGCGGAAUUCCAGGUGUAGCGGUGAAAUGCGUAGAUAUCUGGAGGAACACCGGUGGCGAAGGCGGCAUCCUGGACCAAUUCUGACGCUGAGGAGCGAAAGCCAGGGGAGCAAACGGG
rnacentral:rRNA from 1 species